rnacentral:rRNA from 1 species
GUCUAUGGCCAUGAAACCCUGAACAUGCCUGUUUUUGUCUGAUCUUGGAAGCUAAGCAGGGGUGGGCCUGGUUAGUACUUGAAUGGGAAACCACCUAGGAAUACCAGGUACUGUAGACU